rnacentral:rRNA from 1 species
CAAUAGCGUAUAUUAAAGUUGUUGCGGUUAAAAAGCUCGUAGUUGGAUUUCUGUUGAGGAUGGGCGGUCCGCACAUCGUGCGUGUAUCUGUUACAGCCUCGGCAUCCUCUUGAAGAACGAACUGUGAUUUAUUUCGUGGUUCGGAAUUCAAGACUUUUACUUUGAGGAAAUUAGAGUGUUCACGGCAAGCAAUCGCUUUGAAUACAUUAGCAUGGAAUAAUAAUAUAGGACCUUGGUACUAUUUUGUUGGUUUCUAGAACUAAGGUAAUGAUUAAUAGGGAUAAUUGGGGGGCAUUCGUAUUUCGUUGUCAGAGGUGAAAUUCUUGGAUUUACGAAAGACGAACAACUGCGAAAGCACUUGCCAAGAGUGUUUUCAUUAAUCAAGAACGAAAGUUAGAGGAUCGAAGACGAUUAGAU